rnacentral:ncRNA from 1 species
CUCUACUCUCACAGCCAGAUGUUGCAGACUCAAGGGUCUGCAUCCAGCGCAGGGAGGAUAAAGGAGCCUAUCUCCUUGCCGCAUGGCAGAAAAGUAAAUUGUUAUGGAUGCCGAUAGUAGCCACAAGGCCAAUUCCGCAACACAUAA